CAAAUUUGUAUCAGACCAAAAUCACUUUACUUAAUUACAUCAAAUUAUCCUAAUUUCAAUUUUUAUUUUAACCCUAAUUUUAUUAAAUUCCACAUCACAACUAAUAAUUUUUUUUAAUACCCCUAAUUCAUUUUUUUAUUUUACCCUAACUAUAUUCAUUUACACGUCAUCUUUAAUUAUUUUUUAAAACAACUUACAAUGCCACAUCAUCAAACAUUAC
rnacentral:lncRNA from 1 species